GCAUCCUUCUUUUUAUUGGAUAGGACAGAGGUCUUCUAAACCUUUGGUAUAGGUUCAAAUCCUAUUGGACGCA
rnacentral:tRNA from 1 species